rnacentral:tRNA from 1 species
AGUGAAUAUAGUUUAAUUAAAAUUUUAGUCUGUGAAUCUAAAAAUGAGAGCUAAUUACUCUCUAUUCACCG